rnacentral:rRNA from 1 species
CAUGCAUGUCUCAGUACAAGCCAAAUUAAGGUGAAACCGCGAAAGGCUCAUUAAAUCAGUUAUGGUUCCUUAGAUCGUACACACAUUUACUUGGAUAACUGUGGUAAUUCUAGAGCUAAUACAUGCAAACAGAGUUCCGACCGGAGACGGAAGGAACGCUUUUAUUAGAUCAAAACCAAUCGGUGGCGGGCUUCGGUCCGUCAUCGUACACACUUGAUGAAACUGAAUAACUUUCUGCUGAUCGCACGGUCUCGCACCGGCGACGCAUCUUUCAAAUGUCUGCCUUAUCAACUGUCGAUGGUAGGUUCUGCGCCUACCAUGGUUGUAACGGGUAACGGGGAAUCAGGGUUCGAUUCCGGAGAGGGAGCCUGAGAAACGGCUACCACAUCCAAGGAAGGCAGCAGGCGCGCAAAUUACCCACUCCCGGCACGGGGAGGUAGUGACGAAAAAUAACGAUACGGGACUCAUCCGAGGCCCCGUAAUCGGAAUGAGUACACUCUAAAUCCUUUAACGAGGAUCAAUUGGAGGGCAAGUCUGGUGCCAGCAGCCGCGGUAAUUCCAGCUCCAAUAGCGUAUAUUAAAGUUGUUGCGGUUAAAAAGCUCGUAGUCGAAUCUGUGUCCCGCGCCGCCGGUUCAUCGCUCGCGGUGUCAACUGGCGUGUUCGCGGGACGUCCUGCCGGUGGACUUAGCCCGCGAGGGCGGUCCAACUUAAAAUCCCACCGCGGUGCUCUUCACUGAGUGUCGAGGUGGGCCGGCACGUUUACUUUGAACAAAUUAGAGUGCUUAAAGCAGGCUAAAAUUUCGCCUGAAUACUGUGUGCAUGGAAUAAUGGAAUAGGACCUCGGUUCUAUUUUGUUGGUUUUCGGAACCCCGAGGUAAUGAUUAAUAGGAACGGAUGGGGGCAUUCGUAUUGCGACGUUAGAGGUGAAAUUCUUGGAUCGUCGCAAGACGGACUUAAGCGAAAGCAUUUGCCAAAAACGUUUUCAUUGAUCAAGAACGAAAGUUAGAGGUUCGAAGGCGAUCAGAUACCGCCCUAGUUCUAACCAUAAACGAUGCCAGCUAGCGAUCCGCCGACGUUCCUCCGAUGACUCGGCGGGCAGCUUCCGGGAAACCAAAGCUUUUGGGUUCCGGGGGAAGUAUGGUUGCAAAGCUGAAACUUAAAGGAAUUGACGGAAGGGCACCACCAGGAGUGGAGCCUGCGGCUUAAUUUGACUCAACACGGGAAAACUCACCAGGCCCGGACACCGGAAGGAUUGACAGAUUGAGAGCUCUUUCUUGAUUCGGUGGGUGGUGGUGCAUGGCCGUUCUUAGUUGGUGGAGCGAUUUGUCUGGUUAAUUCCGAUAACGAACGAGACUCUAGCCUGCUAAAUAGGCGUACUAUCGACAUCUCAAAGGCCCGCCGGCCCGGCGCUCGCGUCGUGGUCGUGCGCGGUUUUUACUGUCGGCGUACAAUUAAUUCUUCUUAGAGGGACAGGCGGCUUCUAGCCGCACGAGAUUGAGCAAUAACAGGUCUGUGAUGCCCUUAGAUGUUCUGGGCCGCACGCGCGCUACACUGAAGGAAUCAGCGUGUCUUCCCUGGCCGAGAGGCCCGGGUAACCCGCUGAACCUCCUUCGUGCUAGGGAUUGGGGCUUGCAAUUGUUCCCCAUGAACGAGGAAUUCCCAGUAAGCGCGAGUCAUAAGCUCGCGUUGAUUACGUCCCUGCCCUUUGUACACACCGCCCGUCGCUACUACCGAUUGAAUGAUUUAGUGAGGUCUUCGGAUUGGUACGCGGUGGCGUUUCGACGUCGUCGAUGUUGCCGAGAAGAUGACCAAACUUGAUCAUUUAGAGGAAGUAAAAGUCGUAACAAGGUUUCCGU